rnacentral:rRNA from 1 species
UGCGAGGAGCUCAGUUCUAUCAUUGGCAAUUACUGGUGGAGCCAGCAAGACAAGGAGAACACCACCCACUGGAUAAGUUGGAAGAAGCUCAUCUUACCCAAGGCGCAGGGGGGUCUCGGAUUCCGCGAUAUGCAUGGAUUCAAUCUGGCCAUGUUGUCGAGGCAGGUUUGGAGGCUCAUUCAAUCACCAGAUUCCCUUUGUGCACAAAUUCUGAAAGCCCGUUACUUCCCGACCGGGUCUCUUAUCGAUGCAAGGCCUGUCGACGGCAUUUCAUACUCUUGGAGGAGCUUGCUGCAUGGUCUUGACCUCUUUCGGGAGGGAUAUAUAUGGAGAAUAGGUGAUGGAACCGGGGUUAGAAUAUGGAGCGACCCGUGGUUACCGCGUCCAGGGUCUCGUAGUGUGAUUACACCGCGUGGACAAUGCCUUCUGGAGUGGGUCAGCGAUCUUAUUGACCCGGUCACCGGCAACUGGGAUGAGCAGCUCGUAAGGGACACUUUCUGGAGUGAGGAUGCAAAUCAGAUUAUGCAGAUUCCGCUAAGGGAAGGUGUCCAAGACUUUAUCGCCUGGCAUUAUGACACAAGGGGAUUACACUCCGUUAAGAGUGCCUACAAGCUGCAGGCUCAGCUUGAGCGAACGAGAGAGAACGGAGAUGUAGGUGGGAGCUCAACCAACCCGGGGAACUUGAAUGAGAUCCGGGACGAUUCGUGGAAAAGGAUUUGGAAGUUGCCGUGUCCUCGAAAUAUCCAAAUGUUCACUUGGAGGUUGAAACACGAAUCCCUAGCUCUUCGUACCAAUGUGGCUCGCAGAGGGAUCCCGAUCACGGACACUAAAUGUCUCUUUUGUGCGCGGGCGGCUAAGGACGGAGCACAUCUGUUCAUCAAGUGCAAAUCGGUGAAGUGCGUGUGGCGGGAGCUAUCACUCGAGGGAGAACGUGCGCAGCUGGAGAGAAUAGGGUCCGUGCAUGCAAUGCUCGAAUUCUUGUGGGGGUUGGAGGAGAAAAAGUGCCUCCAUAUCCUCACCUUCUGGUGGCUGUGGUGGGCCAAUCGUAACAAGCUGCGUAAGGGACAGAUGCCAAUCACAGCGGAGAUGCUUGCGAGGCAAACGAGGGCCAAUGUACUCGAGUACUGGGAAAUCUUCCGACAGCCUGCGGUGAAGUCGCAGCCGGACAAGUGGCGGCCCCCAGUGAAUGCAGAGUACAAGAUCAACGUCGACGGAUCGUUUGUGCCGGGAGAAUUCCAUGCUGGCUGGGGCGCGGCAGUGAGAACGAAGGAUGGUCGGCUGGUGUGCGCCAGGGCUGGCAGGCAGGAUCACGUCACGGAUGCCUUCGCCGCGGAGAUUUAUGCCAUGUCACAUGCGGUCACCAUGGCAGCGGAUCUCGGCAUCGUUCGGCUCAAACUGGAGACGGACUCCCAACUCCUAGCUGAGGCCUUGGACUUGCAAAGAGUGGAUUCCUCUGCCUACGCAUCUGUCAUUGAGGACACGAAGUACCAGCUCAAGCUUUGGUUUGCUAAGGUUGUAAUCACCGUGUGUAGACGCACGGCGAAUUCUGUAGCUCAC